ACGCACGCUGGCGGCGUGCUUAACACAUGCAAGUCGGACGGAAAGGCCUCUUUCGGGGGGUACUCGAGUGGCGAACGGGUGAGUAACACGUGAGUAACCUGCCCUUGACUUUGGGAUAACUUCAGGAAACUGGGGCUAAUACCGGAUAGGAGCUCCUGCUGCAUGGUGGGGGUUGGAAAGUUUCGGCGGUUGGGGAUGGACUCGCGGCUUAUCAGCUUGUUGGUGGGGUAGUGGCUUACCAAGGCUUUGACGGGUAGCCGGCCUGAGAGGGUGACCGGCCACAUUGGGACUGAGAUACGGCCCAGACUCCUACGGGAGGCAGCAGUGGGGAAUAUUGCACAAUGGGUGGAAGCCUGAUGCAGCAACGCCGUGUGCGGGAUGACGGCCUUCGGGUUGUAAACCGCUUUCGCUCAUGACGAAGCUUUGUGUGACGGUAGUGGGUAAAGAAGCACCGGCUAACUACGUG
rnacentral:rRNA from 1 species